rnacentral:rRNA from 1 species
GAGCACAUACGGGAGGCAGCAGUAGGGAAUCUUCCACAAUAGACGAAAGACUGAUGGAGCAACGCCGCGUGAGUGAAGAAGGGUUUCGGCUCGUAAAGCUCUGUUGGGAGUGAAGAAAGAUAGAGGUAGUAACUGGCCUUUAUUUGACGGUAAUUACUUAGAAAGUCACGGCUAACUACGUGCCAGCAGCCGCGGGAAUACGGAGGGGGCAAGCGUUGUCCGGGUUUAUUGGGCGUAAA